rnacentral:rRNA from 1 species
GAGGAAGUAAAAGUCGUAACAAGGUUUCCGUAGGUGAACCUGCGGAAGGAUCAUUAUUGAAUGAACUUGGCAUGGUUGUUGCUGGUCCUCUCGGGGGCAUGUGCACACCGGUCAUCUUUAUCUUUCCACCUGUGCACAUUUUGUAGGCCAAAAAAUUUCCCGAGGCAACUCGGUUUGGGGGACUGCUGUGCAUCACUGCCGGCUUUCCCUGGAUUUUUGGGCCUAUGUUUUCACAUACACCAUAAGAAUGUAAUAGAAUGUUAUAUUGGGCUUUGUUGCCUAUAAACUAUAUACAACUUUCAGCAACGGAUCUCUUGGCUCUCGCAUCGAUGAAGAACGCAGCGAAAUGCGAUAAGUAAUGUGAAUUGCAGAAUUCAGUGAAUCAUCGAAUCUUUGAACGCACCUUGCGCUCCUUGGUAUUCCGAGGAGCAUGCCUGUUUGAGUGUCAUUAAAUUCUCAACCUUAUCAGCUUUUGUUGAUAAUGGCUUGGAUGUGGGGGUUUAUUUGCUGGCUUCUUAAUGAUAUCAGCUCCCCUUAAAUGCAUUAGCUGGUUGCCUUGUGCAGACUUGUCUAUUGGUGUGAUAAUUAUCUACGCCGUGGACUGACUUGCCAGUAUUAGCACCGCUUCUAACUGUCUGUUUACUCAGACAAUAUAUAUGACAAUUUGACCUCAAAUCAGGUAGGACUACCCGCUGAACUUAAGCAUAUCAAUAA